rnacentral:rRNA from 1 species
GACGAAUGCUGGCUGCGUGCUUAACACAUGCAAGUCGAACGGUGAAGGAGGGCUUGCCCUCCGGAUCAGUGGCGAACGGGUGAGUAACACGUGGGCAACCUGCCCCUCACUCUGGGAUAACGCCGGGAAACCGGCGCUAAUACCGGAUACGACCAGGCGCGACAUCUCGCCUGGUGGAAAGAAUUUCGGUGAGGGAUGGGCCCGCGGCCUACCAGCUAGUUGGUGGGGUAACGGCCCACCAAGGCGACGACGGGUAGCCGGCCUGGGAGGGCGACCGGCCAAACUGGGACUGAGGCACGGCCCAGACUCCUAAGGGAGGCAGCAGUGGGGAAUAUUGCGCAAUGGGCGAAAGCGUGACGCAGCGACGCAGCGUGAGGGACGAAGGCCUUCGGGUUGUAAACCUCUUUCAGCGGGGACGAAGCGAAAGUGACGGUACCCGCAGAAGAAGCACCGGCUAACUACGUGCCAGCCGCCGCAGUAAGAC